AGUCUCUUAAUUGGUGACUUGUAUGAAAGAUUGGAUGAAAUAUAAACUGUCUCUUAAUUAUUAAUAGAAUUUAAUUUUUUAAUUAAAAAGUUAAAAUAUUUUUAAAAGACGAGAAGACCCUAUAAAGUUUUAUAUUAAAUAAAUUAAUAUUUAUANAUUUAUUAWAAAGUAAUAAUUUUAAUUAAUAUUUUAUGGGGGGGAUAAAAAAAUUAAAUAAACUUUUNUUUAUUAUUMACNAAAAUAAAUGAAUAAUGGMYCCNAAAUUUUUGAUUAUAAGAGAAAUUMCUUUAGGGAUAACAGCGUAAUUUUUUUUUUUAGUUCUWAUAAAAAANAAAGUUUGCGCCCUCGAUGUGGAUUAANAUAAAAUUUAAAUGC
rnacentral:rRNA from 1 species